rnacentral:rRNA from 1 species
UAGGGAAUCUUCCACAAUGGACGCAAGUCUGAUGGAGCAACGCCGCGUGAGUGAAGAAGGUUUUCGGACCGUAAAGCUCUGUUGUUGGUGAAGAAGGAUAGAGGUAGUAACUGGCCUUUAUUUGACGGUAAUCAACCAGAAAGUCACGGCUAACUACGUGCCAGCAGCCGCGGUAAAUCGUAGGUGGCAAGCGUUGUCCGGAUUUAUUGGGCGUAAAGCGAGCGCAGGCGGAAGAAUAAGUCUGAUGUGAAAGCCCUCGGCUUAACCGAGGAAUUGCAUCGGAAACUGUUUUCUUGAGUGCAGAAGAGGAGAGUAGAACUCCAUGUGUAGCGGUGGAAUGCGUAGAUAUAUGGAAGAAUACCAGUGGCGAAGGCGGCUCUCUGGUCUGCAACUGACGCUGAGGCUCGAAAGCAUGGGUAGCGAACAGGAUUAGAUACCCUGGUAGUCCAUGCCGUAAACGAUGAGUGCUAAGUGUUGGGAGGCUUCCGCCUCUCAGUGCUGCAGCUAACGCAUUAAGCACUCCGCCUGGGGGAGUACGACCGCAAGGUUGAAACUCU